rnacentral:tRNA from 1 species
UUCCAGCUGGUCUAGUAGUUAGGAUUCCUGACUUUCACCCAGGCUGCCCAGCUUCAAUUCCUGAGCAGGGAA